CCUACGGGGGGCAGCAGUGAGGAAUAUUGGUCAAUGGGCGCAAGCCUGAACCAGCCACGUCGCGUGAAGGAAGACGGCCCUACGGGUUGUAAACUUCUUUUGUAAGGGAAUAAAGUGUAGUACGUGUACUAUUUUGCAUGUACCUUACGAAUAAGGAUCGGCUAACUCCGUGCCAGCAGCCGCGGUAAUACGGAGGAUCCGAGCGUUAUCCGGAUUUAUUGGGUUUAAAGGGUGCGCAGGCGGGAGAUUAAGUCGGCGGUGAAAUUUUGCAGCUUAACUGUAAAAGUGCCUUCGAAACUGG
rnacentral:rRNA from 1 species